CUCGAGGUUCGAUACUACGGAACUGACAAUGAACUUGGCCGUAGCGGGACAGAGUUAGGCGUCAUCUGUGAACAAGUCUGUUAUUGGCUAGUUAAAUAGACCUGACUGUAACGUUAUAUUGGAGUAAUUAAUUGGUUAACAAGAACCACAGUUACGAUUGUUUGACGACGAAGUCGUGUACUAAAGCCACUAAAUGAUCCAAAAGCUCCGUGUCGAGGUUUGUGGGUCCAGCAGCUCCUAUAAUCUGCACUCUUUUGAAUAGCGAAAGAGGAUUGAGGUCAUUCUCCUGUAACCCGGAUAACUGAACUGACAGACGACUUUACAAAACAGUUUGCUGUUUUCCCACCAGGGGGCGCUAUAGAGCAGAAGAUGAAGUCUUUCUGGCCAGCUUAUGCUCCAUCAUUUGGUACUUUGUUGGAAGUGCUCAUACAAGAAGGACUAAAAGAGUGGCCAAACACGCUGUCCAGACAGUCUAAGUAAUAACAACGCAGCGCCAUCUCUGGCUGGUUCAGAGUUUGAGUGACACCUUCAAUAGCAGAACCCAAAAUGAACCCAAAAUCCUGGUAAGAUCACGUUAUCAUCUAUUUAAUUAUAACUGAAGCCCCUAAUUCUGAAUGAUUAAAACCUUUGGUUCUUAAUAAGUCAUUCACUUAAAUCAAUGAC